rnacentral:rRNA from 1 species
CUCCGAGACGGAUCCCGAGUAGUGCGGGGCACGUGAAACCCCGUAUGAAUCCGGCAGGACCAUCUGCCAAGGCUAAAUACUCUCUGGCGACCGAUAGUGAAGCAGUACCGUGAGGGAAAGGUGAAAAGCACCCCGGAAGGGGAGUGAAAUAGAACCUGAAACCGUGUGCUUACAAGAAGUCAGAGCCCUUUUUAUGGGUGAUGGCGUGCCUUUUGUAGAAUGAACCGGCGAGUUACGCUCCCGUGCAAGGUUAAGGUGAGAAGCCGAAGCCGCAGCGAAAGCGAGUCUGAAUAGGGCGAUUUGAGUACGUGGGCGUAGACCCGAAACCGGGUGAUCUACCCCUGUCCAGGGUGAAGGUGCGGUAACACGCACUGGAGGCCCGAACCCACGCACGUUGAAAAGUGCGGGGAUGAGGUGGGGGUAGCGGAGAAAUUCCAAUCGAACUCGGAGAUAGCUGGUUCUCCCCGAAAUAGCUUUAGGGCUAGCCUCGGAAUGAAGAGUCAUGGAGGUAGAGCACUGAUUGGGUGCGGGGCCCGCAAGGGUUACCAAGCUCAGUCAAACUCCGAAUGCCAUCGACUUACGUCCGGGAGUCAGACAGUGAGUGCUAAGAUCCAUUGUCAAAAGGGAAACAGCCCAGACCAUCAGCUAAGGUCCCCAAGUGUGUGUUAAGUGGGAAAGGAUGUGGAGUUGCACAGACAACCAGGAUGUUGGCUUAGAAGCAGCCACCAUUGAAAGAGUGCGUAAUAGCUCACUGGUCGAGUGACUCUGCGCCGAAAAUGUAACGGGGCUAAACACACCACCGAAGCUAUGGCUUGAUGCUUGCAUCAGGGGUAGGGGAGCGUUGUAUGUACGUUGAAGGUGUACCGUAAGGAGCGCUGGAGAGCAUACAAGUGAGAAUGCCGGUAUGAGUAACGAAAAGAUCUGUGAGAAUCAGAUCCGCCGAAAGCCUAAGGGUUCCUGAGGAAGGUUCGUCCGCUCAGGGUAAGUCGGGACCUAAGGCGAGGCCGAUAGGCGUAGUCGAAGGACAACAGGUGGAAAUUCCUGUACCACCGUAAACCGUUAUGAGCAAUGGGGUGACGCAGCAGGGUAGUGACGCGGAC